UUUUCUGUAAGCCUUCUUCUAUUUUUCUUCCUUAUUCGUAUUCCGUAAUCUGUGUUAUAAAAACUGUCCUUGAAUGAUACAUAAUUUCUGAUGUGUUUAAUAGAUAUGUAAACUUAUUUUUUCUUCAUUGUUUUACGGCUCUUGCCAAAUAAUAGCUAAAUUACAUAAAAAAUUGAUCAUAUAACUUUGAGGUUAUGUUCCCAACCGCCAAAAAAAUGACCACAAUAUAUAUGAUAAAAAAGGUUUUUUUGAAGAGAUUGGAAAUUGUCCUUUCGGCGAAAGAAAAGUAGGAAAAAUUCUUAUCUAACGAGAAUUGAUUCGACCAAUGAGAUAGCAGCGAUUUAACUAAAUCUCCAAAUCGCAAAAAAAACCCAAAACUAUGAUAAUGCAAAUAUCCGCCUUAAUUAAUUGAUCAGUGAUCAUUUUGAUUAAAUUACUCGAAUUAGAUAAUCUUGCUCGAUUUCUCAUAAAGGGUUUAAUCAGUUAUAUAAAACAGUAGACCGACGUUAAAAUUAAUUGAAUUAUCUACUUGGCAGUCAAGUUUUUUGUCAAUGUCAUUUGAUCACGUGCACUUUCGAUCCAACCAUCACAUUAAAAACUAAGAAGUCCAUGGGCUUCAAGUGACGAAUUUAACGUCCAGGUUCACUACUGGCAGGAAAACGAUUUGAAAAAAAAAACACCACACAAUUUCUUCUCACGAACCGGAAGACCUCCGAUGCCAUAUAUCUCAUAGCAAAUCACCAUAAAAUCGUUGAGUGCUGUCCCACAAAUUCCUAAAACUGGAUCGAAAUUCAAAACGGAGGUUCUCAUAGUAUCACGCUAUGUUGCUGCCACUCAUCGUCGUCACGCACUUUUUUUCUGGUGUAUUUUGACUUUCAGAAUUGCUUCGAACAGCCUUUGGUGGACUGUCAUCAGGCGUAGGUGUAAUUUCAUCCGAAAGAGGGAUAUUGUUGUUCGUUGAAGUCGAACUUCUCCUUCCAUUUUCCCGAGUUGGAGACUUGACAUCAAAAACUGAUGAUUCCGACUCAAGAUCUGAAUCAAUCUGGAACGAUAAACAUGGAUUGCCUCUUCCUAAAAUCGAACCUGAUGUUGACUAUGAUUUCAAUUGAGGAUGAGGAUGAUGCGCUACCUUGUUGAAACAGACUACCUGUCUGGUAGCAGGAUGCGGGCUGACAAAGAGUCUUUCGCUCGUAUCGCUCCCACAGCUCGAACUUUCACUCAUUUCGGUUGCAAAUUUUCGAGAAGCCCUGGGACUUGGAGGCGCUGCUCUACUACUUUGGUUACUUAAAUUAAAGCCGGCAUUCCUCGAACAAACCUGGGAUUGAAUAUGCUCACAGACUCUUCUGAAUCUUCGAAUAUUGC